rnacentral:misc_RNA from 1 species
CCGUAAACAAAUUAUUACUUGCAGAAAAUUCAACUAAAUUGCCAAGAAAACCAAUCUCCAUAGGUAUGUUCCCAGAAAGCUUGUUGUCUGAGAUCAGCAAAACAGAGAGAUUAUAAGCAGAAGAUAUUCUCCUGGAAACUUGCCCAGAUAACGAGUUCCCUACAAGCUCGACCAAAUAUACCCUUGGAAGUCCCCAAAACUCUUCUGGAAC